GGGAGGGGAUGGAAAGGUUAGAGUCCUAAAUUGACAGUGACAUGAUGGCAGGAGUGAGUCAAGAGUAAGCGACAAGAAAGAUUGGUCCUAAGGAGGCAGCUGAGAGAAGGGAAGCUCAUGGGCUCACUGAGCUGUACCAUCAGGGCUUGGUGCCUUUCAGAGAGGUGAAGGAAGAGGACUGAACAAGGAUUCAGGUAAGAUUCCCUAGUGCAGAGGGAAUUUUUCAAAGGGUUACACGAAGAGAAAAAUCAGAAAGCUUGGAGCAUAAUUAGAAAGCUGGGAAGUUAUUCUAAGGAAGGAAACAUCUGGGCUGUGUGUGCUGUUGGGGAAGGGGAUUCUGAGCUGGUUACUGAUAUUUAAUCACCUGUACUACUUAGGUUUGCCAAGUCUGAGUGGGGUGGAAUGUCUGACAGACACUCCAGAUGAGGGGAAAAAAGACCCAGAGAUCAAAUUAGUUUGUGAAUCCCAGAGUGGGAUGGAGACAUUGUGACACAAUGUUAAGAGCAUGAGCUCUGGAAAUCAGACAGAUUUGUGUGAUGGUUAAUUUGUUUGUUAACUUGACUGGGCCACAGGGUAGCCAGAUAUUUGAUCAAACAUUAUUCUGGGUGUUUCUGUGAGAGUGUUUUUGGAUGAGACUAACAUUUAAAAUGGUACACUAAAUAAGGUAGACUGCCCUCCAUAAUGAAGGGCCUCAACCUUCCUGCCUGAUGGCCUUUGAAAUGGGACAUUGGCUUUUUCCUGCCUUUGGACUCGGAAUAGAACUACACCAUCAGCUCUCCUGGGUCCCCAGCUUGCCGACUCACCCUGCAGAUCUUGGGACUUGUCAACCUUCAUAAGUCCAAGGCUUCCUGAACACUGCUUUGUAAGCUGCCUCGCAGACAAACCCUGUGAAACCUGAGGUCGCCACACCAGCGGCAGGAUGCAGGUCACUGGACCACGGCAGCCCACUCUGCAGUCAACAGUGCGGGUCACUUUACGCUGACAGAGCUGCUCUCCAGCACCUCCCCCGGCACACACACACCCAAAGCACAGGAGAGUGUCCAUUUCACAAGGUGUCCGGCACUGCUUUCCUUAAAACGAAGCUUCUAUCUGGAAGGUCACCUUGGUCCCCGCGCGGCUCGGGACCGAGCGCCUGGGCUCUGUGACAUCAGCGUUGGCUUCUCAACCGCUGACCUUCAGGCCCCAGAGCUUGGCCCGACCCUAGAACGGCCACCGCCCUUCACACCGCGGAGGGCGGCGUCCCUCCCACCGCCGCGCCGAAUUCGGGCUUGGCGACUCGCUGGGGGGUCCCGGGCGCCCCCCACCCGCCCCGACGGCCAAGCGCCCGGAGCCCGCCCCACGGCCGCCCCUGAGGGCUGUCGUCCCGACAGGCUCGGUCCACUCCGCCCGCCGAGCCCUCGCCGAGCCCCGCUGCUGUGCUGACUUCAGCCCACAUCGCACCCCAGCCACCAGGGAACUUUCCAGAACGUUGGCCCUCUCUGGGAAGUCCCGAGUCGCCAUCCAGGAGGGAGCGCCCACCUGAGGCCUGGCGGGCUCGGGGCCGGGCCGCACGCGGAGCGCACCCUUCGGGCCCAGCCUCCGGAAGCGCUAUUCAGUCGCCGCGGGGCGCCACCCCUCGGGCCGGGCCCGCCGCUCCAGGGGCACCGACGGCGGCGCAGCAAGACACGGGAGAGCACCGCGCCCCCAGCCCGCCAGGAGCCCCCUGCCCGCCUAGACCUCGCCCGACCCCCCGGAGGCAGCCCGAGCUAAAAUUAGCGCCGAGCGCGCGGCGCGCUCACGUGCGCCCCGCGGGACGGGGUGCGGGUGAGUCACGGCCCCGCCCCCCUCGCCGAGGACGCGCUGACGUCAGCCGCUUCCCCGAAGGAUGACGUCAGCGCGCCUCGGGGAGGCCGCGAGGCCUCCGUAGAACGUUCACUGAGUUUCGAUGUCUUAAAGGGACCAGGCCUUGGAUCGUGAAAGAUCUAGAGCGAUGACUGCUCUCGCUCACCCGUGGAGGCAGAACUUGUCUUAUAUCUCUUUGUCCGGAGAAGUGUUGGCUAAGAUGAUGUUGAAAAAAAGAAGAGCACCUGAACCUCAUUGGAAGCUCCCCGAAGCCUCAGAACCUCCUCCUGGAAGCCCUCUGUGAUUAACCGGAAUCUCAUCCUUACUCAAAAGUCAGGAAGUUUUCUAUGGCCCUUGACUCCCUAUCCCUUCACUUCCAGCUGCUCCCCGUAUGCUUAUAUCUCUGCUCGUAGAGAAAGGCUGUGCUUUGAAUGUUUAUGUAUAUAAUCCAUCAAUUUAGGGCAGCUUGGCCCAUUUAUCUGUGUCCGAACUCUGCCAUUAGUCAUGUGACCUGCAGCAAGUUAUUUAACUCUGGGUCUGAAAUUCCUGAACUGGUCCCCAAACCCUCCUCUUAUGCUAAUACUGCCUGCGAAAUUUCCAGAGGUUCGAUCUUACAGCUGGAUCUUUCAGCCCUGUCGCAAUAGCCUCACAGGGAGCUAACAAUUUACUGAGGUUUACUAUGUGGCAGGUGUUUUCAUUAUCCUCUUUGUCCCCCUCGUUUAACCCUAUCGCCCGCCCCUCUGAGGUUGAUAUUAAUUGCCCCAUUUUACUGACAAAGAAGGAAAUCUAAAUGUGUUUCCCUAGGUUACACAGCUAAAGAAUGGCAAACAGGAAGUCAUUCCCAGGUCAGCUGGACUCUGAGUCUGUGUUUUGGUGACGAAGAUGGGCUAUGAAAUCUAUGUCUUAUUCGGGGUAUGUUGAGUCCCCUAGAACCUGCUUUUUCCCUUUUAAUGCAAUCCCAGGGCCUCUGACCCAGUGACCCACUCCACCCCAGAAGAUCCCUGGAGAAGGAGGGUCAGGCAGGUGAGAAGGUGCCCUGUUGCAGGUGCUCAUCCUGCGUUUCCACCCUAAGCACCUCACUCGCCUCACCCUAGGCCCAGCCCUGCCAGGCCUACCCUUGACUCUCUUUUCUCUCUUGAAACCAGAGAGGGCAUCCCUCUUAAAGCAUCCCCAUCUGGCACACCAGCAGCCAGCUCCACCCAAGUGCAGAAGAAAUACCUUGUUUCUCCUCCAUCAUAAUCUCCUCUGUAAAGCAACAGAAAAUUUCCUGUUGGAACAGCAUUUUCAUGCCAAAAACAAAUUAGAGACAACAACAGCUUCUCAAAGUUUUAAACAAAAUGAUGGUGCCUAUGUGCUGGAAACGGAGCCAAGUGGGUGACCUGAAGCCACUGUUAUCUUCCGACAAUCAUUGUUGGUCCUUGGCUGAGUGUCACAGCCCCAUCCUCAGGCCACACAUGCCCGGUCUACCAGGAGCACCUUCCGCCCCUGGCUCACCCCUGGGAGACAUUUAAACUGACCCCCCUCUUUCAUACCCAGUCUCCAGCCGCCACAGAGCUCUCCUUUGUGUCCCCUGCUCCUGUCUCCUCUAUCAAUGGGAGUCACUGCCCGCUGCCCUUCCUGUACUGCCAGGUUUUCUGGAGCCUGUGACCAAACCCCUGGUGUGUGUUCCCACCACAACCUCAGGAGGAGAUGGAGAAAACCACAGACGGCCUCAGCCGUGAGGUCAGCGGCUUGUUCCCUUGCACUUGGCUUGGACGUACAGACAUGGAAGCUUAGAGCAGUAUGAGACCUUCAGGCCAACCAGGCCAGCCCCUGUUUUAUAACUAAGGGACUGAGGUGCAGGUGAGGUGACCUGCCUGGGGUCACAUGGCCUGUUAGGUAGAGAGUCCUAGUCACCUGACUUCCAGCCCACUGCUCUUUCCAUGAUCACACCUCUGUUAUGAGUCUCAGGUGGAACCGUGGGCGUAAAUGUGCAUGGUAAACUGUAACACGCCAUUUACACGAUAGAAAGGAAGACAAAUGGCGACUUGAAGUUUUGACUUUUUAUCUCCCAGCCUUCACUUCCCAUCAUCUUCCUAUCUCAGAAGCCCCAUUUAAUGUUGUUAAGAGCCGUAAAUGUAACUGGCCACUAAUGUGGAAGGAUUGUGAUCUCCAGCAAACGGCCCCAGCAAAGAAAGGAGCAGGAAUCCUGGGUCUGUUCCCAACCGUGCCAGUGACUCACUGGAUGACACAAAGUAAUGUGGUUCUUUUGUUGGGGGGAGAGAUGUGAGAAGACGACGCACACAGCUGCUCGCCUGACAGAGGUGAAAGGGUGGAGGAGAAGCCAUUUGACAGGCUCCCAGCAUAGUGGAGGCUCAGGGGUCCCUGGGUGAAUCCAGUUCCAUAGUAACUGCUUAGCAAUGGCCGGCUGGGUCAGCCCUGAGCUCUGGCCCACUUGAGCCCCUGCCUCCGAUGGAGCCGCUAAGAUGGCGUGGGCUGGAUUAUGGCACUUACCCUUCAUGACAUCAUUCUCAUUGGUUAGGAAUGCGCCCUGGUUGUUCCUAACUCCACUUUAAUAACUUGUUAUAGAUCUGCCCUCCAGGAAUUUGUUUGAAACUUUCUUUAAUCUAUUUAUAUUUCAGCCUGUGCAGCCUUUUCAGGCGGCAAGUAGACUGACCAUUUAUGUAAAAGCACUUAGGUCCUAAAACACAGAAAGUGCUAUAUUAGGGUUCUUAUCAUAAUAAAACGUUUGUAAUUAUAAUGUAUUUAAUAAUGAUAUUAUAAUUUGAUGAUAACAGUGAAUUCAGGUGGUCUCACAGGCUUAUUUUUAGUCACUCACUCUGUUUGUCUUUGUCUUUAUCUCCCCACGCACCACUCCCUAGCCAUCAAAAAGUAUUUAUUAAUGGAGUGAGGGGCUGUCAUGGGUAUAACAAUGCAUGCAAACUUAGAUAAACACAUUCAGUGUCCUCUAAAGACUUACCAUCUACCACCAACAUACAGUAGGUGCUCAAUAAAUACUUGUUGGGCGAAUGGAUGGAUGGAAGGAAUUAAAAAAACCUGCGUGGUAACUGGUGAGACAUAUUAGGAAUGACUAUUUUGGGGGUUGGAGAGCAAACCUGAGAGCAUCAUGGGCAAGGAGGGAAAAGGGAACAUCCUGAUUUUCUGGUCAAUGCGCACGUGUGAGCUCUCCUCAGAUUGGCCCUAGAGCUCAUCCUGGAGGAAGAGCUGGUUUCCAGGCUGCUGAAAUGAUGCCUAGAGGAGGCAGGCCAAGGGGCACCCCCAUGGCAGGUGCCAUAUGGGUUGCAGGAGUGAGGAGGCAGGUACGGGGUCCAGAAGAGAAAGACCGGUCCCUGUGGCUAUCUCUAUUUUCAGUAGGAACCACACCGGAAUGUUUUAAAAAUCCCAUGACUCAGUAGGUGAAUGGCCAAAUAAAUUGUGGUACAUCCAAACAAUGGAAUAUUAUUCAAUGCCAAAAAGAAAUGAGCUAUCAAGCCAUGAAAACACAUGGAGGAAACUUAAGUGUGCAUAUCAAUAAGUGAAAGGAGCCAACUGAAAAGGCUAUGUGCUGUAUGAUUCCAACUAUAUGACCUACUGGAAAAGGCAAAACUACGGAGACAGUAAGAAGAUCAGUGGUUGUCAGGGGUUAGUGGGGAGGGAGGGAUGAAUAGGCGGAGCGCAGAGGAUUUUUAGGGCAAACUACUCUGUGUGAUACUGUAAUGGUGCAUAUGUGUCAUUAGACAUUUGUCCAAACCCACGGAACAUACACCACCAAGAGUGAACCCUAAUGUAAACUGUGGACUUUGGGGGAUUACGAUGUGUCAGUGUAGGUUCAUCAGUUGUAACAAAUGUACCACUCUGGUCCAUCUGGUGGGGGAGAGUGUGCAUGUGGGGAGGGCAGGGGGUAUAUGGGAAAUCUCUGUACCUUCUGCUGUUUUGCUGUGAACCUAUAACUGCUCUGCUCUGCAAAAUAAAGUCUGUUUUAAAAUAAAUCCAGGUGGGGUGAUAAUGCCUUUCCGUAUGUGGAAUUCAGUCCAUCGUGGAGUCACAGAGACUUGGGGUGGAAUCUGAGCCCCACCAUAACCAGCUCUGUAAUUUUGGGGAAGUUGCUUAACUCCUCUGAUCUCAGUUUCUCUAACUGCACAGUGUCGUAAUGCCUUCCUCAGAGUGUUUUGAGAAUUAAAUGAAAAACAGUAUGUAAAAUGUCUAACCCAUUACCUGGGAUAUAUGACAUGUAAGUAUACACGACCCUUCUCCCCAGUUCCUCCCUAAUGACUGUAAUUAUUAAACAUUCUGACGGCUGCUAAUUUCAAAGUCUGGCUACUUGAGGAAAGCUGUCUUGGGUGAAAGUGACCUUCUACUAGGAAAGGAAUGUGUGCAUGGGAGUGGGCGUGUGUAUCCUCACAUGCUCAGUCAGAUGCUGGCCGCAGAAGGCCAGACAUGGACUUGAGCUCCGGGAGGCAGUAU
rnacentral:lncRNA from 1 species